UAGAGUUUGAUCCUGGCUCAGAACGUACGCUGGCGGCACGCCUAACACAUGCAAGUCGAACGAAGUAGCAAUACUUAGUGGCAGACGGGUGAGUAACAUGUAGGUAUCUGCCCUUUGGCCUGGAAUAACACGAGGAAACUUGUGCUAAUACCGGAUAAGUCUUUACGGAGAAAGCUUUAUGCACCAUUGGAUGAGCCUGCACUUGAUUAGUUUGUUGGUAGGGUAAUGGCCUACCAAGACUGUGAUCAAUAGCUGAUUUGAGAGGAUGAUCAGCCACAUUGGGACUGAGACACGGCCCAAACUCCUACGGGAGGCAGCAGUGGGGAAUCUUGCACAAUGGAGGAAACUCUGAUGCAGCGAUGCCGCGUGAGUGAAGAAGGCCUUUGGGUUGUAAAGCUCUUUCGUCGGGGAAGAAAAUGACUGUACCCGAAUAAGAAGGUCCGGCUAACUUCGUGCCAGCAGCCGCGGUAAUACGAAGGGACCUAGCGUAGUUCGGAAUUACUGGGCUUAAAGAGUUCGUAGGUGGUUGAAAAAGUUGGUGGUGAAAUCCCAGAGCUUAACUCUGGAACUGCCAUCAAAACUUUUCAGCUAGAGUUUGAUAGAGGAAAGCAGAAUUUCUAGUGUAGAGGUGAAAUUCGUAGAUAUUAGAAAGAAUACCAAUUGCGAAGGCAGCUUUCUGGAUCAUUACUGACACUGAGGAACGAAAGCAUGGGUAGCGAAGAGGAUUAGAUACCCUCGUAGUCCAUGCCGUAAACGAUGUGUGUUAGACGUUGGAAAUUUAUUUUCAGUGUCGCAGCGAAAGCGAUAAACACACCGCCUGGGGAGUACGACCGCAAGGUUAAAACUCAAAUGAAUUGACGGGGACCCGCACAAGUAGUGGAGCAUGUGGUUUAAUUCGAAGAUACGCGCAGAACCUUACCAACACUUGACAUGUUCGUCGCGACUCUAAGAGAUUAGAGUUUUCGGUUCGGCCGGACGAAACACAGGUGCUGCAUGGCUGUCGUCAGCUCGUGUCGUGAGAUGUUGGGUUAAGUCCCGCAACGAGCGCAACCCUCACUUUUAGUUGCCAUCAUUAAGUUGGGCACUCUGAAAGAACUGCCAGUGAUAAGCUGGAGGAAGGUGGGGAUGACGUCAAGUCCUCAUGGCCCUUACGUGUUGGGCUACACACGUGCUACAAUGGUAUUUACAACAGGAAGCAAAACGGCGACGUUAAGCAAAUCCUUAAAAAAUACCUCAGUUCGGAUUGCACUCUGCAACUCGAGUGCAUGAAGCUGGAAUUACUAGUAAUCGUGGAUCAGCGUGCCACGGUGAAUGCGUUCCCGGGUCUUGUACACACCGCCCGUCACACCAUGGGAGUUGGUUCUACCUUAAGGCAAGGUUUAAAACCCUUGACCACGGUAUAGUCAGCGACUGGGGUGAAGUCGUAACAAGGUAACCA
rnacentral:rRNA from 1 species